AGUGACUCAGAAAUACGUAAUGGGGAGAACGAAGGGCCCAGAAAUAAUAACUGAAAUUUAAACAGAGGUGAGGAGGGAGGAACAGAGAAAAUUCCAUACAAACAGAUCAGAAAAGUCAGGGUUUUUCAGUCUGGAAGCAUAAAGGCAGAUGGGAUUGAAAACAGAAAACAAAGUUAAAAAUGGCGGAGGUUCUGUGUACAUCCAGACUUGCUCAGCAUGGCCUCGUGAGUCUUCCUCCUUGCCUACAAUUCCUUCCUCUCCGCACCCCCUGCAGGACAUUUGGGUUGAAUAACCAUGAAGUGAACAGCCUGAGGUGGGUCAGGGGCCUCGACUUGGGAAUGUGAAAAUGGGGAUUAAUCCUGAAUGGCACACCACCGAGGCUGCUGAAGAGCUGUGACAAACGUGAAUGCCUCCCUCAUGUGCUCAUUUGAAUCUUGCUUAUUCAGGUACUGCUUUGGACCAAGGACUAGUUUAUAAUUUGCCUGGGUAGAUCAGCCUUGUACCUAAACAACAGCAAGACCACCUGUGAUUUGUCCUGAGUUACGGGCGACCGAGUGCUUACACAGAAUGGCACCAGAAAGUGCUCUGGCAGCAAGAACCGGUCAGACUUCCUGAGGGAGGCGCUGUUCGCACUGGCCUUGGUGGAAGAGAGAGUGAGCAGGGGAGAGGAAGAGAGAGACUCUUAAGCAGGCCCCACGCUCAGCCCAGAGCCCGACGUGGGGCUUGAUCCCACGACCCUGAGAUCAUGACUUGAGCUGAAAUCAAGAGUUGGACACUCAACCACCUGAGCCACCCUAGUGCCCCGAGAAAUGAAGUAUUUUGAUUCGGGUCACACGGCCAGUAUGUCUCAGUGAUGACAUUCAAAUCUGUUUUUUUGGAUGUGAAUGCUGAAGAGAGAAGAAACCAUGAACAGAACUGAGGACUCAUAUGGCGGAAGGAGCUGGUCUUGCCUGAUGGUGAAACUGAGGCCCAGGAGAGUGAAAUAACUUGCCCUCAGCUCACACAGUGGGUGAUGGUCAGAAUUGGAAGCCAGGCCUGCUUGAUGCCAAAAUCUGAACACCUGCCGUGAGUCACAUUUCCGGAGGGGAGGUACACAGCUAGUGGCUUUCUAGGAACCAUCUCAGCAGAAAGAAGUCCCUCACUGCUCUGAGCCCUGUGGUUCUGUAGUCACUGGCAUGACGUGAGGACCCCACAGCAGCAGAGGGCUGCAGACUGAGAAGCUUUACUGUGGACUGUGCCCGAGAUCGUAAAUCCUCCUCAGUCCAGCACGAGGCUUAGGCCGGUUCUCGUGAAGAAAGCUUUACUGGAACUCAGCCACGCCCAUUCACGUACACAUCUUCCAUGGCUGCUUUCGCACUGUGAUGACAGAGUUGAGUAGUUGCAACAGAAACCCAAUGGCUGGCAAAACCUAACAUGUUCCUUACCUAGCCCUUUCUAGAAAAAAGUUUGCUCUCUCCUGGCCCAGAAUUAUAAGAGAUCGUGUUUUUAUUUACGUAAAAUGGAACAUAUUAUGAUUUGGGAGGCCGGGAAUAUCCAGGAUGUUUGGGACAGGAUCUGAGCUUCUCGUUACAGGGAAGGCAAAGGCUUAACGGCAGCUUGGAGGACAGUGUCGAUGAGGAUUCUGAGGCGGUGUCUGGAUGGGUCUGGGCACUUCCAGAGAGGUGAGAGCUGGGCUACGAGUCAUGUAGGCGAGGAGCACCAGAUGAGGAAAUGAGCAAGGCAAAUAAAUCCAUGCCCUUCUUUCCCAAAGGUGAAAGCACUUGGCACUGCUGAGUUUGGCACUGUAAACAUACCCUCACUGGAGUGAGAAAGGUGACACUGAACUACCAUUCAAGCUUGACAGAGGCAGACAACAGGCAGAAAAGGCUAAGGUUGGGCUAGAGCUCCUGCUUCAGUUAAGGCUUCUAUGUACUCAUGGGAGGCUAGCAAUGAAACAGUGUUCGUCCAGGGUGGCAUUUCCUAUAAAGCUUCCCAUUUGGAGAAGACGGGGGCAUUUAUUAAUCUGUGCAAUCGCAAUGCCGCUUAAAAAAUGUUACAAAUUAUUUAAGGACGAAAAGAUCAGGGUGUGUGACAAUGCACGUUUAUUGGAGAAAGUGGUAUAAAAUGUGGCUCCUGUCAUUUAUAUAGAGACGUAUAUACGUAGCCCUUGGACUGUGGGUUUUAAAGUUGAAGAAUCUUAACACUACCUACUCCAAUGAGCAAUUCUUCAGUGAUCCAAAUCAAUCCGGGUAGUGGAGUGGUCCUCUGCAGACUCUCCUUGUUGCGGUGAAGGUGUCACUGAAAGGUGGAUGCCAGUCUGGUUUUGGGAACUCAAAUCACAGAGUCUGUCACUCAGGAUAAAUCCUUCUAAAAUAUAUUAGCUACCUUCGCAUAAAUCCAGAUUUCCCGAUGUCGCACGGCAUCCAAGUGAGACGCUACCGUAGUCUGAUAUAUGUUUACUGUUUUAUCAAGCUGAGGUUUUUCACUAUUAAGCACUCCCUGGAAAUUCUCAGGGCCACUGGUCCCUGGUAAUGCAAAUAUGUACGCAGAAUCCAGUAAGCUGUACGUUACGUUAUUGUGCACUAAUCUCUCCUACAGGUCACUUAGUAUCUUUCCCACAUUCAACGUUUUGGCUUUAAUUGUUUUUCCUUCACAGCAUGAAAAAUUGCCAAAUCAGCUCCGGCUGACUAGGUUUUCUUUUCAUUUCAAAUAAUUAUAGGAAGCAUUUAAAUUGUAUUAAGUGCACUAGACCGUAUCUCAAAGGGAACGGAGGAUUCAAAAAAUUUUUACAACAGAAGCUUGAGAAUUAUUUGCAUAAAAACGCUGGUAUUUUUCCACCGAGUGUCUAGAAACCUGCCCCCUCUCAGGUAAGCAUGGGCCGUGCGGCCAACGUGUGAUGAGCCGGAUCCCAGACAGACGGGGGAGCGGGGCUGAGAAUGCGGGCGGGGUUCGGGCCCAGCGGGGCCAGCAGGACCUGAGCCAGUGUGUCUGAAAAACAAGGGCAGAGGGUGUUCAGAUGUAGAAUUCCUCCAUGGCAUUGUCCACAGGUCCGGGCAACGCUGGCGGCGGUGGGGCAUCCCCGCCGGUCUGCUCGGCGCUGGGAGCAGCACAGGGAGGCUCCGGCGCGGACUCUGUGAGCGAGGAGGGGCCGGAAGCAGUGGGAGCAGCAGCAGCUGUCGCGGAGGAGCUGGCGGGCCCUUUGGUGAAGAAAGGGAGGGAAGCCCAGGAGGUGUCUGUGGUCACCCCGCCCCCAGCGGGCAGUGGUCCGUCUCUGGAACCCCUGGGCUUGGACCAGUGGCCGCCGCAUCUUGCAGAGGGGAGGGCUGCUUCCCCGGUGCCGCAGAACCUACUGGGUGCGGAAUACGCAGAGACCACAGAGAGGUCCGAGGAGGACAGGCGGAGGCCCGUGUCCACGUCCGUCUCCUGGGCCCCCUCCAAGUCAUCGAUGGAGAGGAGGCAGCCAUGCCUCCACUCCGAUGCCCUGUGCCCCGCGUCACCUGUGUUUGAGAACCACUGUGGUAGGGCCGAGGAGCCGGGGGAGGGGUCUCCCGUGGGCAAACAAAACAAGGACUUGCUUCUCUGGAAAGACCAGGGGAGGCUGGGAGGGCCGCUGGCUCGUUGGGGCCCAGGAGGCAGGCCCGCGGGGCCGGGACCCAGGUGUGACCCUUCCGGCAGGGGCUGCUGGCUGCCGCCAGGUGUGCUGCUCGGGGCCGGGGCCGCGGUGCUCGGCGGAGGCGCGGGAUGAGGUCUCUGCUCAGACGGGGGCUGAGUUCUGCCGGGUUUCGGACACUUCCUGUGCACCCUUUGCGCCUGUAGGGGGAAGAGGGCGCAUCAGGUUAGCGGUGGACGGGACUGUCACGAGACACACUUCCUGGUCACUGGAAACUUCCAGCAGGGUCAAGGCCAUCAAACAAAACCAGGAAUUUCCUUCUCCGAACUCUAACGCGAAGACAGAGGCGGCAGAGCUCUGGGGAGUGUGGCUCACACUUCUCAGCCUGAGGAGCCCUCUCUGAACCUGCGAGGAGAUGCAGGCCCUCGCCUUGCAGGGAGUAACUGCUCGCUCAGCGGAUUAGCCACAAGAAUGAGGGUUGGGCUGCGCACGGAGGAGGGAGAUAAGAAUUACCAGCAAAGGAGGAAGGACUGCGAUGAGACUCAGUCUUUGACCACAUGAAACUUACAUUUCAUUGAAAGGAUAGGAGACAAAAAAGAAAUUGGUCAGACAAGAACGAGACUGUGAUGACGGGCACAACAAUAGGGCUAUGAGGGCGAGACCAUGCCUGCCCGGUAGAAGCAGAGGAGUCUUCAGGGGAGGUGGCCCUCAAGGUGAGCCUUUGAGAUGGGCAGCUGUUCUCCUGGUGGAUGGCAUGAGUGGAGAGGAGGCUGUUCUGGAGAGAGGCCAACUCAAACAGAGGCUGACUGUUGGCAGGUAAGCAAGGAACUUGCAGGGGGCACUGAGUAGUUUGCCUUGAUUACAGUGCAGGUGCAUGAAAAGCAGUGAUGGAAGAUAAGUUGCAAAUGGAGUCUAGUGCCAUAGUGGUCAAGGAGACCUUGACUAACUGGGUAAGAAAUCUACAUACUUCUCUUUAUGUUGAAGUCUUAAUUGUUGGAGUUUUUUUGACCAACAAAUAUAUGAAUAUAUGACCAUUCCUUUCAUCGAUUUCUAAGAUCUUUGCCUAAUUGCAGAUAUUGCAAUCUUUUUUUAAAGUUUUAAAAUUUAUUUUGAGAGAGAGCAUGCGCAUGUGGGGGAGGGGCACAGAGGGAGACAAAGAAUCCCAAACAGGAUCUGCGCUGAUGUGGGGCUUGAUACCACGGCCAUGAGAUCGUGACCUGAGCCCAAAUCAAGAGUUAGAUGCUUAAUGGCUGAGUCGCCCAGGGGCCCUGAUAUCUCUUAAUCUUAUAAACAGACUCCUUGACUCAUUCUUUCAAUCAACAUCAACGAGGGUCUUUUAUGCAGGGCUUCCUCACUGGUGUGUUUACGCUUUGAAUGGGUUAUCAAAGGCGAGCUGAGAUCUGGAUCUCUUUCACCAGCAGCCUGUUGCACUAUAUACAUAUUAUUAUUAUCAUUUUCUAUGUGCUCUUUGGUGUGAGAAAUGUCUGGAGGGCCAGGCCAGAUAAUUUUGCGUAAGACAUGGUCUUAGCAAACAAUUACCAAUACAAUGUUCAAGUAUAAUAAAGUGAGCUCUGAUGAUAAAGUGAAUGGCAAUAUACAAGCCAUGUUAAGGCACAAAGGAGGGAGAGGUUGAAUAGGGGUGAGGCAGCAUGGGGAAAGGUAGAGAAAGCUUGCCUUGGUAAGUCACACUUGGAUGCAAUCUUAGAAGUGGAAGAAGUGUUUGCCACGUGGAGGGCAAUAGGUGAAGCAUAGAAGCACACUCAGGCACAAAAGCAGCCUGAUCAGAGGCUGGAGGCAGGAACCAAAGCCAAGAGGUGAGCUCUGAGAGGCAAGAGGAGUCUUGUCGUGGUGGGCCCCAAAUCAUGUGUACGUAUAAGGCACCUGCAUUUCAAAACCCAAAGGCUUGAAAGCAAGAUGGUGGCAUGGCCAAAUCUGUGGCAGCAGGGUAAAGGAGAAAGGACUGGAUGGGGGGGCAAGACUGGUGGCAGAAAGAGCAUUUGGGAGAGACUGCUGUAGUCUUUCACUUUUGAAGAUUCAUUUCAAGUAAGCUGUAUUUUCAGUUGCUCGCAUGAGUUUCUUAAACAUCAGUUCAGAUAUUCAGGAUUUUGUAUGGCUUUGCUGUCCACCCUUCCUGAUCCUCUCCUUAAUUCUCAGUCUCUACAUUCUGUAGCGUGGAUGUGUACCCUUGUCCUGCUGCUUCUAGUCCUGCCCUCCAGGCUCUGGAGAGCAUCCUGAAAUUCCCAAAUCAUUCUGCCAAGGGUGGCUUAAGGAGCUAAAGGUGAAAGCGGCAACUGAGAUCUCGGACGGUCUGAAAUUAUUGACGCUUGAAGAACGUGACGCAGAGUGCUUUUAGCGCAGGUGGUAAGUGGGUUCGGUGUCAGUCUUCUAAAGAUAGCGCUCCACAAGGCCGUCCUCACCAUGACACUUCAGUUUGCAACAGCCCCAGCUUUUAUGUGCACGAGGGACCUUGCUGAACAUGGCAAGAAGACUUGGAGCCGAGCUGGUUCCUGCUGGAGGCAUGAUCCACUCAGUAGGGCUUGCUGCUCCGUGCUCCGGCAUCUCCCGGACUCCCACCCAGCCCUUCUGACUCUGGAAGGGUAAGCAUGAAGAGUCCCACCUUUGGGAUGGGGACAGGAGCAGCCUCUGAAGGCACAGCUGUGCCCAAGAGGUAUCACAGCGAGGUGGCUGUCGGGGAGGCAAACUGAUCUUCUUACUCGCUGGAGUUUGGCCAAACAAGAGAAGAUAAAUCAUGAAGCUCUUUACAGAAGGAAGUCCUCGGGGAUGGAGGAUGCUUUGGGAGGGGAGAGGCAAUGUUUAUUAAUUAAAAUGUCUAUCAGGGCCAAUUCCCCGGGGUGCCCCAGGGUAUUUUCUUAUUUGGGAAUCUUCUUACACAUUACCCUAUCACUUCCAUCUUUGGAGACUUAUUCGAGGAGCAUGCUCUUGGCGAGCAUGUUUGCAUUCUCAAUCUGCUUGAAAAAGGGAGCCUCUGAAUAUUACUUCCUGAGAAGCCAAAGGCCAAGGUUCCCAAGAAAGAAAGUGCUAGGAGACAUCUCAAUCUUUCCGCUCUCAGGGACAGAGUGGUGUUAACUUUGACUUAAAACCAGGAACAACUGGCAGAGGAGGAACACUUGAUGGCAGGUAUUGUCAUCGCUGUGCUUGUUUAACAAACCUACCUGUGCUCUCUUAUUUUUACUCCCUUAUGAAGGCAGGAAUUCAGAUAAACCCUAAAUUAUGCUGCUUUGAAGAGAGGAGGAGGCACCUGGUGUUUGUCACCAGAGGGGGGCCCAGGUGCGCCGUGGAAGUGCCAGCUGGGCAGGUGGGGCUCCAACUGGACCGGUGUUGGCUGGUGGUAAUGACAGGGUCUGGGGGCAGGGAGCUGCAGGAGGGUGGCUGCGAGCCUCCACACCCCAGCUCUCGGGCUGAGCACACGUGGGAUGUGUUUGCAGCACAUCUGGUAUUCCCCAGCUCUGUACAGAAGAAGCAGGGUCUUGUCUGUCUGAAAGACAAGUAGCGUAGACCAAACACGGAGCUGCUUUCUUGUGUCCUCCUGGCUGCGGUAGCUGUUUCCGGCCUCUCUCGUCUGCUCGUCUAACUUGACCAGGAACACUAGAGGCUGAGAAUGAAUGGUUGGAGAUGUUUCAGGAAAGCCCUCCCCAGGUGAUCUUUCCAGAGUUGAAACAAUACCCUAUGUGCCCUCCUUUCCUUGGAAGCCUCUCUCUGCCUUCUGUGACAGCAGCAAUGUACCUCGGGGUCACCUUCCUUUCUCUUUGAAGCAGUGCAGGCUAGCUGACUCACUGGAAGCCAGUGGUUCCCCCCUUUGCUAUUUAUGGAACGGAAUGGCAUUAGAUAAAUGAGUCUGCUUAAGGCAGCUAGCCAGGAGAUCUGAUUAUGUCUCUGAAAUCAUCAAAAACCUGAAAUUGCAGUAAUCAACCCAGAAGCUUCUCAUGCAACUUUGAGCAUAGACAGUUUGCAGUUAGGGAGGUAGAGGAGUCUGAGCCGAAGCAUCUUUUUCAAUGAUCUGGGUGUCAGUAGGUUCAUUCCCUGGCACAUGGGUAGACUCCCCAGUGAAGGGGAUUCUGCCCCUGACCCAGUGACCCUGGGCAGUGUCAUACCGGAGUUCACGUUCAUCCUCACACUUCCUCUUUCUGAGAAAGGUCAUUUCUUGUUGUGUCCUUGGCAUGAACACAAGGACUGUGGCAUUCUCUGCUAUGUAAUGAGCCAGCAAUAGAGCUUUUAACCCAGGGACUAAUAAAAAAAAAAAAAAUAGGGGCAAUUCAAGGAAAUUGGGCAAUGGGUUCACAUGAGAAAUCAGAUUUUUGUUCUAAAGAAAAACACAUCUUCCUUCUCCUUUCACUGUCCUUUGGGAAGUUUCCAUAUAACCACUAAGAGGGAUACCCACAGGCAAAGCCUAUGUUGUUUGUGAAAUUCUUUAAAAAUUUUUGAAUAAAAUUAUUUUACCAAAACAAUUCUUAUUGAAAUAUAGUUGAUAUAUAACAUCAGUUCCAGGUGUACAACAUAAUUUUUCGAUGUUUAUGUAUAUUGUGAAAUAAGCCUAGUUAAUCCAUCACCGCAGAUAGACUGUUUUUUCCUGUAAUGAGAACUUUUAAUUUGCUCUCUUAGCAACUUUGAGUGUACAGCCCAGUGUUGUUAACUACAGUCAUCAAGCUGUGUUACAUCCCCAGGGCUUAUUUGAUAAUUUUACAAACGUUUACAUCUUUUGAACAGCUUCGCUCCCCAUCUCCCAAUUGUGACAAUCACCAGUCAGUUCCUUGUAUCUAUGAUUUUUUUUUUAAUCCACAUAUAAGAUCAUAUGGUACCUCUCCUUCUCUGACUUAUCCUGCUUAGCAUACUGCCUUAGCAUAGAUAGACCCUAUGUUGUCAUAACUGGUGGAAUUUCCUUCUUUUUCUAUGGCUAAAAAAAAUAGUUUUCUUUACACAUUCAUCUGCUGGUGGGCACAGAGGUGGCUUUCGUACCUUGGCUAUUUUAAAUAAUGCUGCAGUGUACGUGGGAGGGUGCGCGCAAAUAUCUUUUUGCGUUACUGUUUUCAUUUUCUUUGGAUGAGCGCUUACGAGUUCAACUGCUGGAUCACAUGGUAGUUCUAUUUUUAGUUUUUGAGGAAUCUCCAUGAAGUUUUCCACAGCGGCUGCAACAAUUUACAUUCCACAGCCUUUACUCCUCAUCCUUGAGAACACGUUGUUUCUUGUCUGUUUGGUAAUAGCCGUUCUGAUUGGGGUGAGGUGGUAGAUAGCGUUUGUGGUUUAGAUUUGCAUGUCCCUGAUGAUUAGCGACGUUGAGCACCGUAUUAUGUACCUGCUGGCCAUCUGAAAGCCCCCUAUAGAAAAAUCUCCAUUCAGCAUCUCUGCCCAUUUUUUAAUAAGAUUUUUUGUUUAUUUGCUACUGAGUCACGUGAAUUCUUUAUCUGGAUAUCAACCCCUUGCCAGAUACAUAUUUGCACAUAUUUUCUUCCACUCAGUAGGUUGCCUUUUCAUUUUGUUGACGGUUGCUUUUACUCUGCUGUGCAGAGGCCUUCCAGCGUGCAGCCUCACUGUUUAUUUUUGCUUCUGCUGCCUUUCCUUUUGGUGUCAAAUCCAAAAAAUCAUCACCAAGACCAAUGUCAAGCAGCUUACCACCUGUUUUCUUCUAGGGAUCUUAUUUCAGUUCUUAAGUUCAAGCAUUUAAUCCAUUUCGAGUUUGUUUGUGUGUGUGGUAUAAAACAGUGGUCCAGUUUCAUUCUUCUGCAUGUGGCUGGCUGUCCAAUUUUCCCAGUCCCAGUUGCUGAAGAAACUGUCCUUUCUGCAUUGUAUAUUCUUGGCUCCACUGUUGUAAAUUAACCAAUCACAUAAGUGUGAGUUUAUUUCUGGGCUCCUUAUUCUGUUCCAUGACUCUUUGUGUCUGUUUUCAUGCCAAUACCAUACUGUUUUUAUUGUUAUAGCUUUGUAAUAUAGUUUGGAAUCAGGAAGUGUGAAGUCCCUAGAUUUGUUGUUUUCUUAUGAUUGCUUUGGCUAUUCAGGAUCCUCUGUGGUUCCACACACAUUUUAGGAUUAUUUGUUCUAGGUGUACGAAAAAUACCAUUGAGAUUUUGAUAAGGAUUGCACUGAAUACGUAGAUUGCUUUAGGCUGUAUGGACAUUUUUUUUUUUUUUUUUUUGGCAAUACUGAUCAUUUCCUUCCAAACCAUGAGCAUGAAAUACCUUUCCAUAAUCUGUGUCUUCUUCAAUUUCAUCAAUGUCUUUGGUUUUCAAUGUAUAGGUCUCUCAACUUGGUUAAAUUCAUUUUCUGUACUUUAUUCUUCUGAUGAAAUUAUAAAUGGUAUUGUCUUAAUUUCUCUUUCUGAUAGUUCAUUAGUGUAUAGAAAUGCCACAAAUUUGUAUAUAUUGAUAUUGUAUCCUGAAGUAUUACUGAAUUCAUUAGUUUUAACAGGGCUUUUGUUUUUUUGUUUUUGUGUUUUUUAGUAUAGGCUUAAGGGUUUUCUAUUUAUAGUAUAUCAUCCGUCAAUAGUGACGGUUUUACUUUUUUCUUUGCAAUUUGGGUGCCUUUUAUUUCUCUGUCUUUGUUAACUGAUGUAAGACUUGCAAUAUUAUACUGAAUAAAUGUGGGGAGAGUGGGAAUCUUUUGUUUCUGGCCUUAGAAGAAAAGUUUUCAGCGUUUUACCACUAUGUAUGAUGUUAGCAGUGGGCUUAACUGUUAUAUAUAUACACCUUUAUGAUGUUAAGGUGUGUUUCUUCUAUACCCAACCCCAGUUUUUUUUUUUUUUUGUAAAUGUGGAAUUCUGUCAAAUGCUUUUUCUGCGUCUAUUGUAAUGACCAUACAAUUUUUAUCUUUCAUUUUGUUAAUGUGGUAUAUAACACUGAUAUGCAGAUUUUGAACUAUCCUUGCAUCCCUGGAAUAAAUCCCCCCUUGAUCAUGGUGUAUAAUCCUUUUAAUGUAUUGUUCAAUACAGUCUGCUAAUAUUAUUUUGUUGAGGAUUUUUCCAUGUAUGUUGAUAAGGGACAAUGAUUUGUAAUUUUCUUGUGGCAUCUUUGUCUGGUUUUGGUAUCAAGGCAAUGCUGGCCUCGUAAAAUGAGUUUGGAAUGUUCCCUUCUCUCCUAUUUUUUGGACGAGUUUGAGAAGGAUUGCUAUUUCUUCUUUAAAUGUUUGGUAGAAUUCACCAGUGAAGACAUCUGGUCCUGGACUUCUAUUGGGAAGUUUUUGAUUAUUCAUUCAGUCUCCUUAUUAGUAAUUGGUUUGUUCAGAUUAUCUAUUUCUUCAUGAUUUAGUCUUGGUAGAUUUUAUGUUUCUGACAAUUUAUCCAUUCUUUCUUUUCUUAAAAUUAAAAAAAAAUGUUUAUUUUUGAUAGAGUGUGCAGGGGAGGGAUGGAGAGAGAGGGAGACACAGGAUCUGAAGCAGACUCUGUGCUGACAGCAGAGAGAAAGCCCAGUGCUGGGCUCAAAGUUAUGAACUGUGAGGUCAUGACCUGAGCCAAAGUUCAAUGCUUAACUGAGCCACCCAGGUGCCCUGGCAUAUAAUUUCUCAUAGUAGUCUCCUAUGAUCCUUUUUUUCCUGUGGUACUCAGUUUAACAUCUCUUUCAUUUCUGAUUUUUUUUUUUUUGAAGGAUGUCCUUGGUUUUUUUUGUUAUGAGUUGAACUAAUGGUUUGUCAGUUCUGUUUUAGCUUUUCUUAGGUUCAUUGAUCUUUUUAUUAUCUCCUUUCUACUAAAUCUGGGUUUUCUUUUUUCUUUUUCUAAUUUCUUGAGGUGUAAAGUUAGGUUGUUUAUUUGAGCUCAUUGUGAUCUCUUGAUGUAGGCAUUUAUCUCUAUGAACUUCUGUCACAGAAAUGCUUUAGCUGUGUCGCACAUUUUAGCAUGUGGAAUUUCCAUUUUAAUUUGUCUCAUUGACAAAUGAGACACUAUAAAAUCAUUAUAAAAUAACCUUUGUCUCUUACUACAGUCUUUCUUAAAGUCUAUUUUGUCUGCUAGAAGUAUAGCUUACCCCUGCUUUCUUUCCAUUUCUAUUUGUAUGGAAAAUCUUUAUCCCUUUACUUUCUGUCCGGAAGCAUCUGGUAGGUAGUAUAUAGAUACAUCUUGCAUAGAGAUAUGUUUUUUAAAAUCCAUUCAGCCAUUCUGUCUUUGAGGGGAGAAUUUAGUCCAUUCACACUUGCUUAUUUAUUUGCUUAUUUAUUUAUUUUGAUAGAGACAGAGAGCAAGGAGGGGAGGGGCAGAGAUAGAGGGAGACAAAGAAUCCCAAGCAGGUUCCAUACUGUCAGCAUGGAGACCAAUGCAGGGCUUGAACUCAUGAACCCCAUGAGAUCAUGACCUGAGCUGAAAUCAAGAGUCAGAUACUUAACCAACUGAAUCACCCAAGUUCCCCCAUUUACAUUUAAGGCCAUUAUGGCCAGGUAUGUACUUAUUGCCAUUUUGUUAAAACUGUUUUCUGUUUUAUAAUCCCUUUCUUUUCUUGAUCUCUUCCUUUAUGACUUAAUGAUUUUCUGCAGUGGUGUGUUUAGAUUCCUUUAUCUUGUGUGUAUAUACUACAGGCUUUUGCUUUGGGGUACCAUGAGGCUUACAAAAAAACAACUUAUAUACUGUAGUUUAUUUUAAUGUAAAACAACUUAAGUUUGAACACAUCCUAAAGCUCUAAAUAUUUAUGCUCCACCCCAACAUUUUUGUUUUGAUGCCAUAAUUUAUAUCAUUUUAUCCUGUAUAUCCAAUAACAAAUUACUGUAGUUAUAGUUAUUCCUACAACUUUUGUCUUUUAACCUCCAUACUAGCAUCAUAAAUGAUGAACCCAUCACCUUUACAAAAUUAGAUUUUUCUGAAUUUUACAUAUAUUUACUUUCAGCAGUGAGAUUUAUACUUUUUUGUUUUCCUGUUACUCAUUAACAUCCUUUUGUUUCAACUAAAAGUAGUCCCCUCAACAUUUCUUGUAAGACUGCUUUAGUGGUAAUGAACUCUAGCUUUUGAUUGUGUGAAAAACUUUCUCUUCUUCAACUGAAGGACAGCUUCACCCAGUAUUCUUGGUUGCCAGUUUUUUUCUUUUCCUCUCAGCACUUUGAGUGUAUCAUUCCACACACUUCUGGCCUGCAAAGUUGCUGCUGAAAAAUCCAGUGAUGGUCUUACAGGGGUUCCCUUGUAUGUAAGAAGUUGUUUUUCUGCUUUUAAGAUUCUCUUCUUGUCUUUAACUUUCAACACUUUAAUUAUAAUGUGUCUUACAUGGGUCUCUUUGGGUUCAUCUUCUUUGAAACUCUCUGGACUUCUUGGAUAUGGAUGUCUGUUUCCUUCCCCAGAUCAGGAAUGUUUUCAUCCAUUAUUUUGUCAGAUUUUCUGCUCCUUUUUCACUUCUCCAUCUGGGGACCCUUAUAAUAUGAAUGUUAGUUAGCUUCAUAGUGUCCCAUAAGUUCCUUAAGCUAUCUUCACUCUUGUUCUUAUUUUUUUCUGUUUGCUGGUCUAAUUGGAGGAAUUCCAAAGCCCUGUGUUGAAGUUUACUGAUCCUUUCUUCUGCUUCAUCUAGUCUGUUGUUGAACCCAUCCAGUGCAUUUUUCAGUUCAAUAAUUAUUCUUCAGCUCUAUGACUUCUUAUGUGGUACUUUCUUAUAUUUUCUUUUUGUUGAACUUCUCCCUUUGUUCAUUCAUUUUCUCCUGAGCUCAGUGAGCAUCUUCAUCAGGUAAAUAACUUAUUUCUGUUUCAUUAAGGUCUUUUUCUGAGAUUUCAUCUUGUUAUUUCGUUUGGGACAUGUUCUUUUGUUCAUUUUCUUUGAUUUUCUGUGUUGGUUGUGUUAGAGAAAAGAGCCACACUUCCCAGUCUGAAGGACUGGGAUCAUGUACAAGAUGAAACUAUUAUUCAUCCUUGCUCUAGCUCUUUAUCUCAAAAACUUUGUGUUUGUCCAAGCAGCCCAUUUUAUUCCUAAUUGCUCCAAACAAUUGAGGGCGCUCUAAGACCUGUGAGUAUCCCAGAGGGAGGAUCUUGGUCAGCACCUAGAUCCAGGCUGAUGGAAAGCAAGAACCUCAAGCAGCACAUUUGAAAGUAUGCAAAUAUACCUCUUUCAGCAGAAGACUGGGUGACAGGCAUUAUUGUCUGCUCCCUCUGCACUGAGCUCUGGGAUGACAGCCAGUUAAGAACCAUUUCUUUGUUUGCUACCAUCCCACUGAAUCUGGGAACACAAGCCCUGCCGGACACCAGAG